CUCCAGCACCACACCCACACCUUCACAACCCAAAGUUUGGCCACUUCCACUAAUCCCACCAACAACACAGCAGAAGCCAUCGAGCUAUUUUCUGAAUAAAGAUGAAUUUAGAUUGGAAGCUGUCUACAUGAAGUCUCACCAUAGAGACGGAGCUGGCCGCCACCCUGUAACCCAUAGCAACGCCAUCAGCUGCAGUGGGCGGAGCCGCCGGCAUUGAAGCUUCUGAUUGGCCGAUAACAGGUGUCCUGACAUUCCAUAUAAGGAAGGUGGAGGAAGCAUCGUUCAUUUUUAAACAUGUCAGGAAUGAACACGCUGGAUAACCUGCAACAUGUAAUUAAAUAGUUAUUUGUAAAUACAAAUACAUUAUAAUUAUUUAUUUUACACAAUGUGGUUUUAUAUCUCUAUUAUUUUUUAUUUUUGUGUACAUCUUGACAGGUUUAAGUGAGACUGAUUGUGAUCAUUUCAGUGUAACUGACAGGAUGGGACAACAGAGAGCAGUGCAGAUCAUCUCCCACCAGAGUGCACUGCUUCCCUGGAAACUAAAGGUUGAUUUCUGUG